GUGACGACCCCGUCCUCUUUUCUGGUCAUUUCUUGGUGUGUCUGUUUUCUUUUAGGUUUUUCCAGGUAGAUGGGUGGAGCUACUAAUUGGAUGUGCACCUGGAAGGCUGGGCCUAGGUUAUUUAACUGGCUCCUCCUUCUCAUUCUUUCUCUCUCCGACCAUUUCUCAGAGCACCUGCUUCCUGUUUGGUUUGUGAUAUUUGGUUAGAAAAUAAAUAUUUUUGUUUUAAGUUA